UCUGCCUUAGCUUUGCUUUGGCUGUUUCUCUUUUGUUUUGUUAUCGUACACGCAGCUACGGAAAGGAAUAGAUGUCAUACUUACUUUUUUAGAUUAAUUGCCACGGCUGAAGUUGAAGAGACCAAGAAACGUAAGCCGCGAAGGGGCACAUCUUGAAGAGAGGGGGCUAGACCUAGCGAUGCAGUUGUUCGUUUUGGUCGUCGCCUGUGAGGCCAGCAUGCAAGAGUAAGAGGAAGCUAGGAGCAGUCUCAAAAAGAGGUGGAACCAAGGACAGCAAAUGCUGACGAGGAGAAGAGACGGACGAGCGUUUGCUUGCGGUUAAUACCGAAGGGACGGGAUGAAACAAGGAAGCCAGAAUGCAGCGGCCCCUCGAUAUCACCAGGAACUGCUACAGGAGGAGGCGUUCUGGCACGGGUAACUAGGGUAAGUAUGGCUAAUGACCGUUAGCAGUUAUUUCGGCCUUCCCGAGGCAGCGAUGAGGACUAAGUAACCUGAGGGGCUCUGGCCUGGGUUGGGGCAGAAGUGCAGGCAGGCGGGAUCAGGCAUUUUCCUCUCAGCUCUGCGAGCUGAAUCCUAGCCCUGAAGGAAAAAGCACUGGGGGGAGGCUACUCGGACACCUGCCAUGUCGAGGGCAGGGGCAGGAGCUGACCCUUCCCCGACGGACAGACGUACGGACAGACGCUGGUGCGGCGGUGACUCUUUGGAUAUCGUAGGUAAGGGGAGGCACGCUGGUGCCGAGCUCCAGGGCGGUUUGCCUGAACACGAUGCCUGAGGCAGGAGGUUAUGCAUUGUGUCCGGGGCUGGGAGCUGGUCCCCGAGUCCCAUGUACUUGGGAGUGCCUGCGCUUGCCAGGGAGCCCGGUGCUGUUCCCAGAGCUGCGGGGAAUUUCCCUUGCGUUGCCUGGACCCUCGGGGCUCUUGGGGGUGUUUCCCCUCAUCGCGAGGGCUGCCAGAGCCCCUCCAGGGCUGCGUGAGGUCCCCGAACCGCUCCCGGAUUUGCUUUUGGCACUCCGCAGUGUCGCUCGUGUGCCUGGGGCAGCCUGCAGGCGCCAUCCUGUCAGCCGCGUUGAGCCCUGCGGCGUGCCUGGUGACCCCUCUGGUGUGCGCCAAGGCCCUUCCUCUGUAUUUUGGUCUGCCCCAGAGCCCUGCACUUGCCCUCUGAUGCCCUCAGGACCCCUCAGUUCACAUUCUGGGUUGCCCCCGAGCCC